ACUCCUACGGGAGGCAGCAGUGGGGAAUAUUGCACAAUGGAGGAAACUCUGAUGCAGCGACGCCGCGUGAGCGAAGAAGUAUUUCGGUAUGUAAAGCUCUAUCAGCAGGGAAGAUAAUGACGGUACCUGACUAAGAAGCUCCGGCUAAAUACGUGCCAGCAGCCGCGGUAAUA
rnacentral:rRNA from 1 species